rnacentral:rRNA from 1 species
UACGUAGGUGGCAAGCGUUGUCCGGAUUUACUGGGCGUAAAGGGCGCGUAGGCGGCCAGCACAAGUCAGUUGUGAAAUCUCCGAGCUUAACUCGGAAAGGUCAACUGAUACUGUGCGGCUAGAGUGCGGAAGGGGCAACUGGAAUUCUUGGUGUAGCGGUGAAAUGCGUAGAUAUCAAGAGGAACACCUGCGGCGAAGGCGGGUUGCUGGGCCGACACUGACGCUGAUGCGCGAAAGCCAGGGGAGCGAACGGG